CCUACGGGAGGCAGCAGUGGGGAAUAUUGCACAAUGGGGGAAACCCUGAUGCAGCAACGCCGCGUGCGUGAAGAAGUCAUUCUUUAUGUAAAGCUCUAUCAGCAGGGAAGAAAAUGACGGUACCUGAGUAAGGAUCCCCGGCUAACUCCGUGCCAGCAGCCGCGGUACUACGUAGGGGGCAAGCGUUAUCCGGAUUUUCUGGGUGUAAAGGGAGCGUAGACGGCAGUGCAAGUCUGGAGGGAAAGGCGGGGGCUCAACCCCCGGACGGCUCUGGAAACUGUACGGCUGGAGUGCAGGAGAGGUAAGUGGAAUUCCUAGUGUAGCGGUGAAAUGCGUAGAUAUUAGGAAGAACACCAGUGGCGAAGGCGGCUUACUGGACUGUAACUGACGUUGAGGCUCGAAAGCGUGGGGAGCAAACAGGAUUAGAUACCCCAGUAGUC
rnacentral:rRNA from 1 species